GACGAACGCUGGCGGCGUGCUUAACACAUGCAAGUCGAACGGAAAGGCCCUGCUUUUGUGGGGUGCUCGAGUGGCGAACGGGUGAGUAACACGUGAGUAACCUGCCCUUGACUUUGGGAUAACUUCAGGAAACUGGGGCUAAUACCGGAUAGGAGCUCCUGCUGCAUGGUGGGGGUUGGAAAGUUUCGGCGGUUGGGGAUGGACUCGCGGCUUAUCAGCUUGUUGGUGGGGUAGUGGCUUACCAAGGCUUUGACGGGUAGCCGGCCUGGGAGGGUGACCGGCCACAAUGGGACUGCGGUACGGCGCAGACUCCUACGGGAGGCAGCAGUGGGGAAUAUUGCACAAUGGGCGGAAGCCUGAUGCAGCAACGCCGCGUGCGGGAUGACGGCCUUCGGGUGGUAAACCGCUUUCGCCUGUGACGAAGCGUGAGUGACGGUAAUGGGUAAAGAAGCACCGGCUAACUACGUG
rnacentral:rRNA from 1 species